CCUCAACUAUCCCUGGCUGGCGAGCCUUUGGAUCAAAAGCUGUCCUAGACACAGAUCUUCUGAAUGGAGGUGGUCACCCACAGCCACCACACAAGGCUCUGGGAUGAAGGGAAGGCCGGAAGAAUAAAGGCGUCCGCUCCCCGAUUGCACUCCUCCCUGCAAGCUGGCCUCCCUGAUGCUGAGUCAGCAGCGUCUGACAAAUUAGUCAACAGGAUGACUGCUGGGCUCCCGGCUUCUGACAGCGUUUUUUGGACUUCAGAUCUAACACAAAUCCUGAAGCCAGCAAAGCAGGAAGCUGUUGCCAAGGAGACCCUUAUAUUUCCCCUGGGAAAAGGUGUUUCCCCAGCUAUUCAGUGGGGCCAUCAGACCCAAAGAGGAUUCCAGGUAGCAAUAUUCCACUUUUCAGAAAAUUACAGCCUUUCCAUAAAUGGUUAUCAAUUGUGUGUUGAACAAACAGGCAUCACAUGGUUAUUCCCUAAAUGUUAGAGAAGCUUCCCCCGAGGAAGUUGAUUUGGCCCCUCUUGCUUUUGUGGCAUGCAAAGGUUUGGAAAAUGACGGCGAUAGAGAAGCUCUGUCUAGAUUAGCCAAUUUAUUUACAUCUUAGUUACAGUUUUAGAUCACUUUCCCAAGGGAAUUUACAAUAAGAUACAAAAAACAAAAUACAUAUAAUAAAAAACCCAUAAGAAUGGCCCAGGA